rnacentral:rRNA from 1 species
GACGAAGGAUGCAAGCGUUAUCCGGAUUCAUUGGGUUUAAAGGGUGCGUAGGCGGACCUGUAAGUCAGUGGUGAAAUCUCUUCGCUUAACGAAGAAACUGCCAUUGAUACUGCAAGUCUAGAGUAUAGAUGACGUUGGCGGAAUAUGACAUGUAGUGGUGAAAUACUUAGAUAUGUCAUAGAACACCGAUUGCGAAGGCAGCUAACGAAACUAUAACUGACGCUGAGGCACGGAAGCGUGGGGAGCAAACAGG